UUUAAUAUGGCAGAAUCGAGUGCAUUGGAUUUAAAUCCCAAAUAUAAAGAAUUCUUUCUUUUAUUAAAA
rnacentral:tRNA from 1 species